rnacentral:misc_RNA from 1 species
UCCAGCUUACGCUGGCAGUUCCCUUAGAGUUCCUCCCAGCAAAGCUAAGAAUGGCAACUAAGGAUAGGGGUUGCGCUCGUUACGGGACUUAACCCAACACCUCACGGCACGAGCUGACGACAGCCAUGCAGCACCUUGCAAGGCGUCCCGAAGGAACCCCCGUUUUCACGGGGUAGCGCCAUGCAUUCUAGCCCAGGUAAGGUUCCUCGCUUAUCAUCGAAUUGAACCACGUGCUCCACCGCUUGUGCGGACCCCCGCCAAUUCCUUUGAGUUUCAACCUUGCGAUCGUACUCCCCAGGUGGGUCACUUACCGCUUUUGCUUGGCCCCAUCCCGACAGCAGUCGGGACAGAGCUAGUGACCAUCGUUUACAGCGUGGACUAC